AGUUUGAUCGAUGGCUCAGGACGAACGCUGGCGGCAUGCCUAAUACAUGCAAGUCGAACGCGACCAGCCGGUGCUUGCACUGGCGAAGUCGAGUGGCGAACGGGUGAGUAACACGUGAGAACUACCCUGGAUGGGGAAUAACUCGAAGAAAUUCGAGCUAAUACCGCAUACCUUCUUACCGUCGAAUGGUGGUUUGAAGAAAGAUUUAUCGGCUCUGGGAGGGGUCUCGCGGCCUAUCAGCUAGUUGGUGAGGUAACGGCUCACCAAGGGCAUCGACGGGUAGCUGGUCUGAGAGGACGAUCAGCCACACUGGAACUGAGACACGGUCCAGACUCCUACGGGAGGCAGCAGUAGGGAAUCUUGCGCAAUGGGGCGAAAGCCUGACGCAGCAAUGCCGCGUGCGGGACGAAGGCCCUAGGGUCGUAAACCGCUUUCAGUAGGGACGAAAAUGACGGUACCUGCAGAAGAAGCUCCGGCCAACUACGUG
rnacentral:rRNA from 1 species